rnacentral:sRNA from 1 species
GCUGGGUACACAAGUCGUGUCUCAGGUCCUCGGAGGCUGAAGCAGGAGGAUCACUUGAGUCCAGGGGUUCAGAGCUGCCUGAGCAACACGGUGAGAGCCUGCCUCAC